GGUGCAUGGCUGUCGUCAGCUCGUGUCGUGAGAUGUUGGGUUAAGUCCCGCAACGAGCGCAACCCUCGUUUUUAGUUGCCAGCAUUAAGUUGGGCACUCUAGAGAGACUGCCGGUGACAAACCGGAGGAAGGUGGGGAUGACGUCAAGUCAGCAUGCCCCUUACGUCUUGGGCUACACACGUACUACAAUGCUACGGACAAAGGGCAGCUACACAGCGAUGUGAUGCGAAUCUCAUAAACCGUAGCUCAGUUCAGAUCGAAGGCUGCAACUCGCCUUCGUGAAGGAGGAAUCGCUAGUAAUUGCAGGUCAGCAUACUGCAGUGAAUUCGUUCCCGGGCCUUGUACACACCGCCCGUCACACCAUGGAAGUUGGUCACGCCCGAAGUCGUUACCCCAACCGCAAGGAGGGGGAUGCCUAAGGUAGGACUGAUGACUGGGGUGAAGUCGUAACAAGGUAGCCGUACCGGAAGGUGU
rnacentral:rRNA from 1 species